AGAGUUUGAUCCUGGCUCAGGAUGAACGCUGGCGGCGUGCCUAAUACAUGCAAGUCGAGCGAACCACUUCGGUGGGAAGCGGCGAACGGGUGAGUAACACGUAGGUGAUCUGCCCAUCAGACGGGGACAACGAUUGGAAACGAUCGCUAAUACCGGAUAGGACGAAAGUUUAAAGAUGCUCCUGGCAUCACUGAUGGAUGAGCCUGCGGCGCAUUAGCUAGUUGGUGGGGUAAAGGCCUACCAAGGCGACGAUGCGUAGCCGACCUGAGAGGGUGAACGGCCACACUGGGACUGAGACACGGCCCAGACUCCUACGGGAGGCAGCAGUAGGGAAUCUUCGGCAAUGGGCGAAAGCCUGACCGAGCAACGCCGCGUGAAUGAAGAAGGCCUUCGGGUUGUAAAAUUCUGUUAUAAGGGAAGAAGGGUGAUAGGAGGAAAUGACUAUCAAUUGACGGUACCUUAUGAGAAAGCCACGGCUAACUACGUG
rnacentral:rRNA from 1 species